GUUGACCUCGGAUCAGGUAGGAAUACCCGCUGAACUUAAGCAUAUCAAUAAGCGGAGGAAAAGAAACCAACAGGGAUUGCCUCAGUAACGGCGAGUGAAGCGGCAACAGCUCAAAUUUGAAAUCUGGCCCUAGGCCCGAGUUGUAAUUUGCAGAGGAUGCUUUUGGUGCGGUGCCUUCCAAGUUCCCUAGAACGGGACGCCAGAGAGGGUGAGAGCCCCGUACAGUUGGACACCAAGCCUUUGUAAAGCUCCUUCGACGAGUCGAGUAGUUUGGGAAUGCUGCUCAAAAUGGGAGGUAUAUUUCUUCUAAAGCUAAAUACCGGCCAGAGACCGAUAGCGCACAAGUAGAGUGAUCGAAAGAUGAAAAGCACUUUGAAAAGAGGGUUAAACAGCACGUGAAAUUGUUAAAAGGGAAGCGCUUGUGACCAGACUUGCGUCCGGUGAAUCACCCAGCUCUCGCGGCUGGGGCACUUCGCCGGCUCAGGCCAGCAUCAGCUCGCUGUCGGGGACAAAAGCUUCAGGAACGUAGCUCUCUUCGGGGAGUGUUAUAGCCUGUUGCAUAAUACCCUUCGGCGGGCUGAGGUACGCGCUCCGCAAGGAUGCUGGCAUAAUGGUCAUCAGCGACCCGUCUUGAAACACGGACCAAGGAGUCAACCUUAUGUGCGAGUGUUCGGGUGUCAAACCCCUACGCGUAAUGAAAGUGAACGCAGGUGAGAGCUUCGGCGCAUCAUCGACCGAUCCUGAUGUUCUCGGAUGGAUUUGAGUAAGAGCAUAUAGGGUUGGACCCGAAAGAAGGUGAACUAUGCGUGUAUAGGGUGAAGCCAGAGGAAACUCUGGUGGAGGCUCGCAGCGGUUCUGACGUGCAAAUCGAUCGUCAAAUAUGCGCAUGGGGGCGAAAGACUAAUCGAAC
rnacentral:rRNA from 1 species